rnacentral:rRNA from 1 species
GUUUGAUCCUGGCUCAGAGCGAACGUUUGCGGCGGGCUUAACACAUGCAAGUCGAACGAGAAUCCCUUCGGGGAGGAAAGUGGCGCACGGGUGCGUAACACGUGGAUGACCUACCCCUUGGUUCGGGACAACAGCGGGAAACUGCUGCUAAUACCGGAUGUGUCGUAGCAAUACGAGAAAGGCCCGCAAGGGUCGCCAGAGGACGGGUCCGCGUCCCAUCAGCUAGUUGGUGAGGUAAUGGCUCACCAAGGCGAAGACGGGUAGCUGGUCUGAGAGGAUGAUCAGCCACACUGGAACUGAGACACGGUCCAGACUCCUACGGGAGGCAGCAGUGGGGAAUAUUGCGCAAUGGGCGAAAGCCUGACGCAGCCACGCCGCGUGAGCGAUGAAGGUCUUCGGAUCGUAAAGCUCUGUGGGGGGAGAAGAAGAAAGUCGGUGAAGAGCCGGCCCUGACGGUAUCCCCUUAGCAAGCACCGGCUAACUCCGUGUCAGCAGCCGCGGUAAUACGGAGGGUGCAAACGUUG